rnacentral:rRNA from 1 species
GACGAAGGUGGCGAGCGUUGUUCGGAAUCACUGGGCAUAAAGCGCACGUAGGCGGCGACGUAAGUUGGGUGUGAAAUCCCUCGGCCCAACCGAGGAACUGCGCCCAGUACUGCGUUGCUUGAGGAUCCAAGGGGUGCAUGGAAUUCCCGGUGGAGCGGUGAAAUGCGUUGAUAUCGGGAGGAACACCUGUGGCGAAAGCGGCUCACUGGACCACAACUGACGCUGAGGCGCGAAAGCUAGGGGAGCAAACAGG